rnacentral:rRNA from 1 species
GAUGAACGCUAGCUACAGGCUUAACACAUGCAAGUCGAGGGGAAACGAUAUUGGAAGCUUGCUUCCGAUAGGCGUCGACCGGCGCACGGGUGAGUAACGCGUAUCCAACCUGCCCACCACUUGGGGAUAACCUUGCGAAAGUAAGACUAAUACCCAAUGACGUCUCUAGAAGACAUCUGAAAGGGAUUAAAGAUUUAUCGGUGAUGGAUGGGGAUGCGUCUGAUUAGCUUGUUGGCGGGGUAACGGCCCACCAAGGCGACGAUCAGUAGGGGUUCUGAGAGGAAGGUCCCCCACAUUGGAACUGAGACACGGUCCAAACUCCUACGGGAGGCAGCAGUGAGGAAUAUUGGACAAUGGGCGCAAGCCUGAUCCAGCCAUGCCGCGUGCAGGAUGACGGUCCUAUGGAUUGUAAACUGCUUUUGUACAGGAAGAAACACUCCCCUCGUGAGGGAGCUUGACGGUACUGUAAGAAUAAGGAUCGGCUAACUCCGUGCCAGCA